rnacentral:rRNA from 1 species
AGAGUUUGAUCCUGGCUCAGGAUGAACGCUAGCGGCAGGCUUAAUACAUGCAAGUCGAACGGGAUUCGGGGUAGCAAUACUUUGAUGAGAGUGGCGCACGGGUGCGUAACGCGUAUGCAACCUACCUUUAACAGGGGAAUAGCCCCGAGAAAUCGGGAUUAAUACUCCGUAACUUUGCGGUGUGGCAUCACACUGCACUUAAAGCUGAGGCGGUUAAAGAUGGGCAUGCGUGACAUUAGCUAGUUGGUGAGGUAACGGCUCACCAAGGCAACGAUGUCUAGGGGUCCUGAGAGGGUUAUCCCCCACACUGGUACUGAGACACGGACCAGACUCCUACGGGAGGCAGCAGUAAGGAAUAUUGGUCAAUGGGCGCAAGCCUGAACCAGCCAUGCCGCGUGCAGGAAGACGGCCCUAUGGGUUGUAAACUGCUUUUAUCAGGGAAUAAACCCCCGCUCGUGAGCGGGGCUGAAGGUACCUGAAGAAUAAGCAUCGGCUAACUCCGUGCCAGCAGCCGCGGUAAUACGGAGGAUGCAAGCGUUAUCCGGAUUCAUUGGGUUUAAAGGGUGCGCAGGCGGAUUGGUAAGUCAGGGGUGAAAUCCCACAGCUCAACUGUGGAACUGCCUUUGAUACUGUCAGUCUAGAGUAUAGUUGAAGUUGGCGGAAUGUGUCAUGUAGCGGUGAAAUGCUUAGAUAUGACACAGAACACCGAUCGCGAAGGCAGCUAGCUAAGCUAUAACUGACGCUCAUGCACGAAAGCGUGGGGAUCAAACAGGAUUAGAUACCCUGGUAGUCCACGCUGUAAACGAUGAUUACUCGAUGUUGGCGAUACACAGUCAGCGUCUGAGCGAAAGCAAUAAGUAAUCCACCUGGGGAGUACGAUCGCAAGAUUGAAACUCAAAGGAAUUGACGG